GGAGGUAGUACAAUAAAUCACAAUGCGGGACUAUCAGUCUUGCAAUUGGAUUGAGAACAAUGUACAACUCUUAUCGAUAAGCCAUUGGAGGGCAAGUCUGGUGCCAGCAGCCGCGGUAAUUCCAGCUCCAAUAGCGUAUAUUAACGUUGUUGCAGUUAAAAAGCUCGUAGUUGAAGUGUGGGUGAUCGCUGUUGUGAGACUUCGGUCUCUCGACAGUAAGUCACCCCCUUCCAGUAUCCAGUAGUGGGUAUUCAGUUACUUACUAUUGUGUGUUGGUCCUUUACUGUGAGAAAAUUAGAGUGUUCAAAGCAGGCGUUUGCUUGAAUAGAUUAGCAUGGAAUAAUAAUUGAAGGCUUUCGUGUUCGAUUUGAUUGGUUUGUUCAUGGAAGCAAGGUUAAAAGGAACAGUUGGGGGUAUUCAUAUUCACUAGUUAGAGGUGAAAUUCUCGGAUUUAUGGAAGAUGAACAAUGCGAAAGCA
rnacentral:rRNA from 1 species